GACGAACGCUGGCGGCGUGCUUAACACGUGCAAGUCGAACGAUGAAAGUCGUUUUGAUAUCUUCGGAUUGAUAAACUUCUGGAUUAGUGGCGGACGGGUGAGUAACGCGUGAGCAAUCUGCCUUACACAAAGGGAUAGCCUCGGGAAACCGGGAUUAAUACCAUAUGAUAUCUAUUAACCGCAUGGUUUAUAGAUUAAAGAAUUUCGGUGUAAGAUGAGCUCGCGUCCCAUUAAUUAGUUGGUGAGGGUAACGGCCCACCAAGAUAGCGAUGGGUAGCCGAUCUAAGAGGAUGACCGGCCACAUUGGAACUGAGAAACGGUCCAAACUCCUACGGGAGGCAGCAGUGGGGAAUAUUGCACAAUGGGGGAAACCCUGAUGCAGCGACGCCGCGUGAGCGAUGAAGGCUUUCGAGUCGUAAAGCUCUGUCCUAUGGGAAGAUAAUGACGGUACCAUAGAAGAAAGCCCCGGCUAAUUACGUGCCAGCCGCCGCGGUAA
rnacentral:rRNA from 2 species